GCCGGGGUGGCGGAAUGGUAGACGCGCAGGUCUCAAAAACCUGUGGUACUUAGUACCAUGUGGGUUCGAGUCCCACUCCCGGCA
rnacentral:tRNA from 1 species